CCUACUGCAUGUCUAGUACUUAGGGAUGCCUAACCUCUCCAAGGCUCUCUUAGCCUAACUGUAGAUAAAAGGCUUGCAUAUAUGGCAUAUUAAGACUGUGGAAACCAGCACGUGCGGAACCUCUGAGAAGGUCUGGAUUUAAGGUUCAGAUACCAUCUGUUACGUGCUUUGAAGGUGCCACUCCAUCUGUGGGAUUCAAUUUACGUAAACUGAAGACUAUUCUUUUGAGUUGAAGUGAGGAGAGGCAUCAAUCACUAGAAAAUUAUUUGAUCUCCUGGAAGCAAAACGCCCACCAUGAGGUUGUUCUUGCCAUGGACUUCUAGAGGAGCUGACUGCCCUUUGGGAAGCUACAAAUAAGCAUGAAAAUCUGUAAGCAGGGAAGAGAGGCUUUUUCAGAGUGAUCAGGGUGCUGAAAUUCCUGGCUGGAAUGCCCUUCCUCUUGCCUGACUUCCUGAUCCACCCACCAGUCAGUGUGGCUCA